rnacentral:rRNA from 1 species
AGAGUUUGAUCAUGGCUCAGAUUGAACGCUGGCGGCAUGCUUUACACAUGCAAGUCGAACGGUAACGCGGGGGCAACCCUGGCGACGAGUGGCGAACGGGUGAGUAAUACAUCGGAACAUGUCCUGGAGUGGGGGAUAGCUCGGCGAAAGCCGGAUUAAUACCGCAUACGCUCUGAGGAGGGAAGCGGGGGACCUUUCGGGGCCUCGCGCUGCAGGAGUGGCCGAUGUCGGAUUAGCUAGUUGGUGGGGUAAAGGCCCACCAAGGCGACGAUCCGUAGCUGGUCUGAGAGGAUGAUCAGCCACACUGGGACUGAGACACGGCCCAGACUCCUACGGGAGGCAGCAGUGGGGAAUUUUGGACAAUGGGGGCAACCCUGAUCCAGCCAUGCCGCGUGAGUGAAGAAGGCCUUCGGGUUGUAAAGCUCUUUCGGACGGAACGAAAUGGUUACGGUGAAUAUCCGUGACUGAUGACGGUACCGUAAUAAGAAGCACCGGCUAACUACGUGCCAGCAGCCGCGGUAAUACGUAGGGUGCGAGCGUUAAUCGGAAUUACUGGGCGUAAAGCGUGCGCAGGCGGUUCGCCAAGUCAGGUGUGAAAUCCCCGGGCUUAACCUGGGAAUUGCGCUUGAAACUAGCGGGCUUGAGUGUGGCAGAGGGGGGUGGAAUUCCACGUGUAGCAGUGAAAUGCGUAGAGAUGUGGAGGAACACCGAUGGCGAAGGCAGCCCCCUGGGUCAACACUGACGCUCAUGCACGAAAGCGUGGGGAGCAAACAGGAUUAGAUACCCUAGUAGUCC